GAUGAACGCUGGCGGCGUGCCUAAUACAUGCAAGUCGAGCGAACAGACGAGGAGCUUUCUCCUCUGCCGUUAGCGACGGACGGAUGAGUAACACGUGGAUAACCUACCUAUAAGACUGGGAUGACUUCCGGAACCCGGAACUAAUACCUACUAAUAUCUUUAACCGCAUGGUUCCAUGAUCCAAGGCGGUGUUGCUGUCACUUAUAUAUGGAUCCGCGCCGCAUUAGCUAGUUGGUAAGGUAACGGCUUAACAAGGCAACGAUGCGUAGCCGACCUGAGAGGGUGAUCGGCCACACUGGAACUGAGACACGGUCCAGACUCCUACGGGAGGCAGCAGUAGGGAAUCUUCCGCAAUGGGCGAAAGCCGGACGGAGCAACGCCGCGUGAGUGAUGAAGGUCUUCUGAUAGUAAAACUCUGUUAUUAGGGAAGAACAAAUGUGUAAGUAACGAUGCACGUCUUGACGGUACCUAAUCAGAAAGCCACGGCUAACUACGUG
rnacentral:rRNA from 1 species